AGCUCAGUGGUAGAGUGCUUGCCUUGCAUGCAUGAGGCUCUGGGUUCAAUUCCCCAG
rnacentral:tRNA from 1 species